AACGAACGCUGGCGGCAUGCCUAACACAUGCAAGUCGAACGAGACCUUCGGUCUAGUGGCGCACGGGUGCGUAACGCGUGGGAAUCUGCCCUUGGGUUCGGAAUAACAGUUAAGAAAUGACUGCUAAUACCGGAUAAUGUCUUCGGACCAAAGAUUUAUCGCCCAGGGAUGAGCCCGCGUAGGAUUAGCUAGUUGGUGAGGUAAAGGCUCACCAAGGCGACGAUCCUUAGCUGGUCUGAGAGGAUGAUCAGCCACACUGGGACUGAGACACGGCCCAGACUCCUACGGGAGGCAGCAGUGGGGAAUAUUGGACAAUGGGCGGAAAGCCUGAUCCAGCAAUGCCGCGUGAGUGAUGAAGG
rnacentral:rRNA from 1 species